UACCGGCGGCUCGAGUGGUGACCAUUUUUAUUGGGCUUAAAGCGUUCGUAGCUGGAUUGUUAAGUCUCUUGGGAAAUCCAACGGCUCAACCGUUAGGCGUCUAAGGGAUACUGGCAAUCUAGGGACCGGAAGAGGUGAGAGGUACUCCUGGGGUAGGAGUGAAAUCCUGUAAUCCUAGGGGGACCACCUGUGGCGAAGGCGUCUCACCAGGACGGCUCCGACAGUGAGGGACGAAAGCUGGGGGAGCAAACCGGAUUAGAUACCCGGGUAGUCCCAGCCGUAAACGAUGCGCGUUAGGUGUAUCAGCGACCACGAGUCGCUGAGGUGCCGAAGGGAAACCGUGAAACGUGCCGCCUGGGAAGUACGGUCGCAAGGCUGAAACUUAAAGGAAUUGGCGGGGAGCACCACAACGGGUGGAGCCUGCGGUU
rnacentral:rRNA from 1 species